AUGUCUCACGUACCAGAAGCAAUUAGAAACGAAGCGAGAAGUGUAGUUUCGGGUUUAUUACCCAAAAAAUCUUCAGCAAGGUGCGAGCAUCAUUUAGAUUUUAAAAAUUGGCAGAAGAAGCAGAACGUAGGGAGUGUAAACGAGGAAGUGAUAUUGGCAUACUUAAAUCAACUGUCGAUGAAAUAUAGCCCCAAUUCUUUAUGGUCCAAGUGGUCAAUGUUAAAAAGCUGCUUAGAAAUUAAAGAAAAUAUUGGAACUGACAGAUUUUAUAAAGUAAUUGCUUUUUUAAAAAGAAAAAAUGACCGUUACACGCCAAAAAAAGCCAAGAUCCUAACUAAAGAGCAAGUCGAGACUUUUCUGCUGGAAGCUCCUGACGACCAGUGGUUACUCUUUAAAGUUGUGACAAUUUUUGGAAUUUUCGGAGCUUGUCGGUGUGAUGAGCUUUUGUCUCUCACACCAAACGAUGUAGAAGACAGAGGGAAAUACAUAAUUGUCACUUUGCGAAAUACAAAAAAUUUUACAACAAGGAGGUUUACAAUAACGGAUGAGGAGUGCAGAUUUCAACCUUGCGUUUUGUACAGAAAAUAUGCGUCUCUUCGACCAACUCAGGCCGAAAGUCUACGCCUUUUCUUAACUUAUCGUGGCGGUAAAUGCAUCUCCCUGAAUGCUGGUCAACACACUAUUGGUGGCAUACCGAAGAAAAUUGCGUCGUACUUGAAAUUAAGUGAACCGGAAUUGUAUACCGGUCAUUCUUUUCGCCGCUCAGCGGCAACUAUGGUUGUGGAUUCUGGGGGCGACAUUUUGGCACUGAAACGUGCAGGAGGCUGGAAAUCUAGUGCUGUUGCAGAAGGAUAUGUGGAAGAUUCAAUUAAGCAGAAGCUAGAACGAGCAAAAAAAUUGUUUCUAGUUCCAGAGCCGACAAGUGCUUCCUCCAGCUCCAAACACGCCUCCACAGUUUCAGAAGAAACAAGUGAAAAAUUUAAUGUUAGUGGGAAUCAAAAUUGCAAUAUCACUAUUAAUGUGUAUAGCCGAGAAAUUAAUCCUGUCAAUAAUGAAUAAGUUGUUCUUGUAUUUUAAUAAUUUUUAGUUCAAUUCAGUAAUUCUGUUUCUGUUUGCAAUAAAAGCUUGAAAAUUAAGAGUAAUUUUGCCUCAAAUUUUGCUAAAUAUUGAUGGUUGUAAAGAAAACAAUUUCUAAUCAAUAUAAAUCAACGUUGCGAACGUGUUAAUUUUAUAACUGGGGCUCCUGUCAGUUUUACUAGUAGCUAACUUGUAAAAGUGAAGUUUCGAAGUGAUUAGACAGAUCGGAUAAUUGACGUUUACAAGAAAGUUUGAAAUCGUGAAAUUCCUGGUGGAAAAUAAGGCCAAUUGUCGCUUGAAGGACGCGGACGGGAAAACAGCCUUGCACCGAGCUGCCGCCAACAAACACCUCAAAAUCUGUCAAUACUUACUCGAAGUUGAGCCAAGUUUGCGAAACGAAGUGGAUAUUCACGAGAAACGACCAGCUGACUACG